CCUACGGGUGGCAGCAGUGGGGAAUAUUGGGCAAUGGGCGCAAGCCUGACCCAGCAACGCCGCGUGAAGGAAGAAGGCUUUCGGGUUGUAAACUUCUUUUCUGAGGGACGAAGAAAGUGACGGUACCUCAGGAAUAAGCCACGGCUAACUACGUGCAAGCAGCCGCGGUAAUACGUAGAUGGAAAGCGUUAUCCGGAUUUGUUGGGUGUAAAGGGCGUGUAGGGGGGAAAGCAAGUCAGAUGUGAAAACGCAGGGCUCAACCCUGAGCCUGGAUUUGAAACUGUUUUUCUUGAGUGCUGGAGAGGCAAUCAGAAUUCCGUGUGUAGCGGUGAAAUGCGUAGAUAUACGGAGGAACACCAGUGGCGAAGGCGGAUUGCUGGACAGUAACUGACGCUGAGGGGCGAAAGCGUGGGGAGCAAACAGGAUUAGAUACCCUAGUAGUC
rnacentral:rRNA from 1 species